GGAAGAACAAGAAGUUUCGUAUUUUCCGCUGUCGUGUUAGCGUGCUGAAUUUAUCCCAUGGUUUCAAUAGAACUGUGAAAACGUUUUUAUGUAUCUCUUUUCAACAACGAUGUGAGUCGAGAUCACCAGACGAGGUAAAGGUCUUGGUCGGCAGAAGAAUGGUAUGUGAGGCUAUCAUAGUGAAUGUGGCAAGGGAGGGGUGGGACAUCUUCUAGACUGGAAGUGGAAUUUGGAGAGAAUGGUGUGCAGGUGAAGAAGUUGGUUGAGGAGGAAGAGGAAGGACCAGCAGCCAACGAAAGCCAUGCUGGGAAGAGAAACUUUAUGGAUGCUUUGUGAAGUCUGCCACCCUCCUGGCAGGACUGGAGCAGCCAGAGUAUAAGUCUUCCAGUACAGAUGACAGCAGCAGCUCUGACGAUGAGGACCAGAGACUGGAACUCUCCAGCACCACCAAGUUUAAAUAAUAAAUGUUAUUUCCCUUGGAUGCUGACCUGGUGAAGGCUUGUGGAGGACGCACCGCUCAAGUAUUUUGCUUGUCACCAAUAAGUUUGUAAUAAACCAUAAACAAAUCACAUGAAUGUGUAUUCUAUCUUGGUGCAUGCUGUUAGUGAAGGGCUUGAACCUGGUCUUGCAUGUCUUAAUAAGGAAGCUAAACAUUGUUUGUCCCUAUUCCUGUUCGCCACAGAGGAGCCAGAUACGGCCUUACCAUGAGUGCCAAGCUAGCCAGACUGGAGCAGCAGGAGCAAGAGUUCAUGGCAAAGUAUGGCAAUAAAAACCAAUUAGCGGGUGCAACACCAGAUAGCGUCACCACCGUUACCCAGCCAGCUGCCCAGAUCCCUGAGGAUGAACUGAAGGAUGAGACCCGGGGGGGGGGGGGGG